GGUUUUGUUGAUUUCCCCUCAACUUCUCACAUGUAUCUUAAAAUCUUUGGUCACUCAUCCCUUCUCUGAAUUAGGAUUUGAGCAUCUUUCUGUUAUGCUGUUGCCCCGCUUCUAUUGCAAUACUCCCCUUCUUCAGAAAGUUUUUCUAGACUAAUGUCCAGAUUAAACUUCUUUUCUUUGACAAUAAUGAUGCCACGACUUGGACAAAAUGCCCAUUGCCCCUGGCUCCUGCUUUCUUCACCCAGUGCUGCCUUAUUGGACUCCUUGUGCCUCUCCAUGACUGGGGAAAUCAGGAUCCACAGUGAGCUUCAACUGAGAAUCUAGAAGAGAGUAGACAGAAAAGUAUUUUUCCCUUCCCUCCAAAUGCAAGGAUAAUCUUUCGUGAGUCCAGGAGGAAGGCUCAUUCCACACUAAGUGUUCUGAAUCAAAAAGAUGAACAAAAUACAGUGCCAUUCUUCAAGGACUUCACAGUCUACAGGAAAGGGAUAUAGUUAAACAAAUAACUACAGAAUUGGAAAUUGGAGCUGAUGUGAUUAGAAGGGUUUUGAACAAGGGGCAUCACUGUGACUCUCUCUGCUUUUGCAAACUUCAGGAAAACCUUUAUGCACAGUUGAAAAUACAGAAUCUCAGAGUGAAGCCCUAACUUCCCACAGCAGAUGGGGUCUAUGAGGAGGAAGAAGUGGAUGCAUGGACCAGUCCUGUUUCGAUGACAAGUCUCAUGGUGCUACUGUGCCUCCAUGAGCUCCUGAUGCCCAGAAGCUGGUAUCCUGUGAGUGGCAUUGCAAAGCUCGGAGAGCAGCAGCGGACACUGCAGCCUUGCUAAGAUGUCAGCAUCUCUUCUUAAAGGUGAGCUUCUAAAUGGCAGGAGUGACAACUAGGGCCAAGUUGUGGGUACUUGGCACCCACAGCUCUUAGUUUCAGAACCUCCUUCUCCCCAGGUUUCAUAUCAGCCUUCACCAUGCUUGUUAAUUUGGACCAAAUCAACCAGAGUCCCCUCCCCUAAGUCCUAACUGCUGAACUAGGCAGGGAUCGGUCUCAGCCCCUGGAUAAAGGACUGCUAUCACAUCUGUCCUUGAGGCCUUCAAAGACUUGCUAACUAGAAAAAUGACUAACACAAGGAUUUCAGGGCCCAAAACAGGGACAGUGGGAGUCCUCAAAGUAUUCCCUGUUGGCAUAAGGCCAAGGCCAUUCUCUUCUAACUCAUGGGUCCAAAAAUUACUCAGUUGGCUCCCAAAUUCCGGGGUCUGCUGACUCUUGCGACUGAUGGGGCUUGCCUGCUGAAUUUUGACAUUCUUAACAUAGUGUUCUUGAACACUUCUGAAAACAGGGGGUUUGUGAAGCAACUGCUUCUACUGCUCAAUUCUAAUGUUCUUCUAUAUCAAGAUAAGCUGGAAUUUUCCCCCUUGUCACUUCCACCUCUGGUCAUUUUCCUUCUCUCUGGAACUGGACAGAACAAGCGUAAACCCCUUUCGCACAAAUAGAUGUUUGCACAUUUGACUUUAUUGUGCUUGCAUUUGCAUUUCUGGGUCUCUGCUGCUUUAGGUUAAAACUUCACAGCUUCUCAAUUGUUCUUUAAAAUGAUGUUCACAUUCAUCAUAUGAAUGUUUUCUGCUGGAUAUAUUCCAAUUGAUUCGUGCUUCUCUUAGGCUAUGGCACCUAAAUCUGACAGUCCUAAUAAAGCUGAGCGUUUAGGGAAAGGACAGACAAUUCCACAGUGCCGUGGUGGGAUAUUUAGUAAGAGUCUUCUGUAUAAUAGAUAGGCCAUGGAUCACCUGGAAGUCAACCACUGAGUGGAUUCUCUGCUAUUGUGGGAACAUAAAACCUACAAGCUACCCAGGAAUAUCUUCCUAUGCUUAUUGACCCUAAAGGAUGCCCAUAUCAUUUUGGUUCUCCACACAAGGAAGAUAUUCACCCAUGCUUGACUCCCUCACGAGUCAACUCUCCAAAUCUGCCAUAAGGUUAAUUCUUAAAACAUGUUCAUGAUCAACUAUCUCAUGUGCCAGUCCUAAUCCAGAUGGCAUUUGGCUUCACACUCUAUUAGCUGAAAGAAUGGAGAUUUCUGAAAAAUAAGACUCGUAUGCCUUCUUUACAUACAUUUGGACUAAUUUUCACUCCCCUCAUUAAAGCUCUCUGUGAUUGACAGCAGUUGAUGACAACCAGAUCUGCUGAUAGAACUAAAUGUUUUCAGUUUUCUCUUCACAGAAAUAGAUAUCCAGAGCAAUUUGAGAGCUCACCAUUUUGGUGAAAGUUAGAAGGAGAGCAUAUAGAAAGAAUAUAUACAUUAAGACUGGAGCAGAAAAGGCCUUUGAUUAGAUGGAGUAAGUAUCUCAGGAAAUAUGUACACAGAAAUGAUCUUCUCUACUCACUCUCUCAGAAAUAAAAUCUCCAAGACAAAUGCACAAAUAUACCGUAAGACAUUCAAUCAACCACUCUUUUCUGAGCCCCACACCUAGCAUAAAUGAGGCAGUAAGCACUGACCAUAGAGUCCCUAGGCUUGGAUAUGAUGACUAAUUCUGCUUCAUAUUGGCAAAGCAUGUUAGUCUCCUCUCUGAACUUCAGAUAAUGAUAGCUAGCUGCUUGCAAAUCUCAAGAAUUAUUGGGUUAUAUAGCUUAAGUUAUAUAAGUUGGCUAAAAUGGUUUGUGUUACUGUGAAAUGUUACAGAAAGGUAAAAUAUGAAUAAUGCCACAUUCUGCCUCAUCUGAUACUAAGUUGUACACAGUGUCCACUAGAAUAUAAAUGCUAGACAGCUGGAAUUGCUCUCAUCUCUGCCGUUUCAGUAUCUAGCAUAGUACCUGUCAUGUUCUAGGAGCUUGAUAAAUGUUUGUUGAAUUGACUUCCUUUAAAUUGAAUUACUAACUUGCAAGGUCUUUGGGGGCAAUUGUAGAAUCUCAUUUUACAUCAUCGCCAUUUCCUUGCUCAAAGCUGACAUGAGGAAGUAUGCAAUAAAUGGUGAGUGAAUGAAUGAAUGGAUGGAGAGGAACUGAAAAGAUCAUUCUCAACCUGGAAUGCCCUUUAGAAUCACUUACAGUGCUUUCAAAAAUUAAUCUCUGGGCCCUUAUCCCAGAGAGCGAUUUAAAAGUUUCCCAAAGUAUUUUAAUGUAAAGUCAAGGUUGAGAAUCAAUGACUUUGAAUGACAAGAAAAUAUAAGGAAGAGUCCACUCCCUCCUUUUUUCUUUUUUUUUCCUCACCAAUGUAGGUUUUAUAUUCUUAAGUGAAAUAAAGCAUUCUGAAAGCUUUUGUAUUUUUCUGAAUAAAGUACUCUAAAAUGGAAGAGUGAUGUUGCUACUGCUUUUUAGAAAAUACUGUCAAAAAUUGGUUUUCUAGACUUCUAGAGGCUGGUGGACCUCCCAGUAGCUAUCACUUGGCAGACACUUGACCCUAUUAUCUCAGUAUAACUGAGCUAUGAAGCCCAGUUCAACCGCCAAGGCCAGGACCCAGUAAUUCCGCUGGCCUAAUGUUCUGAGACGCUGCCACCUUGUGGGCACUCUGGAGCGACACUUACACCAGCUUCCUUAAAACAGGUGUAUCUUAGAUGGCCUUAGGUUUUCCUUGUUAUGUAUAUUCUGAUAUUUCUGGAAAAUAAAUAUUUGUAAGGAAAAGAGAGUUCUGGAUGCUCCAUGAAGACGAUGCUACAGAUACAGACAUGAACAGUAGGUAUGGUGUGGAGUUUACAUGAGCAGGAUUGAUUUAUCCCUGUUGAAUAGCAAGUGACAGAGGCCAUAAGAUGAAAAGGUACUUAAGGACAAAGAAUUGGUUAUGUCAAAUCCACUUAUAAUGGAAGCCAUCAUCCUCAGCAAACUAACACAGGAACAGAAAGCCAAACACCGCAUGUUCUCACGCAUAAGUGGGAGCUGAACACUGAGAACACAUGGACAUAGGGAGGGGAACAACACACACCAGGGC